rnacentral:lncRNA from 1 species
CUCCUGUGUGUGCCCCUCAGAGUCCCUGGAGUGUGCGCAUGCCUGGCUUCUCCGAGAGCAUGGAACAGUAUCCUUCCAGUGAUCCACUCCAGCCCUUCCCGAUCAGGGCUGGUGCAGCCAUGUCUACCUUUUAAUUAGCUGGAAGAAAGUGGUCAUCUUGUGGGGAAAGAAACACAACAGCAUGAAGGUGGUGAGAGUCCUCUCUGAUUCAGCACAGCUGUUUGAGCUAAGCAGAAAUUCAACCAAGUAACUGACCACAUGUACUGUGUGUUGAUCUAUAAGAAAAACUGGAGAGAGAACUUGAAUCAUGGCAUUUGUGCGUAUGAAAUUCGAUCACAUACUGGCACUCAUCUAAGACUGAUCCCACUUAAUGCACCCAAACGGGACCUACCUAAUUAAUUCAGGAGAUGUGUUACUGCUCAGAAGAGUCAAUCAGCAGCGUAAGUAUGAUCUGUCCAGCAGAAUGAACUGGCUCAUACACAUGUAAGAGAGUGACCCAGCUACUUUGAUUUCCUAAUUUUGAAAACGCUAAUGAUUAUUUUAGCAUUUCUUUUUUUGCAGAUGCUAUGGCUACAAUGACUGAGGACUACUGGAGAGUCCAGGAUUGAUUAAGUGUCUGGCUGAGAGACCAAGAGGACCAGACACAUGGGAAGUGCUGUUUCUCGAAGCUCUGCCUUCAGGCAGACAAGGAAAGACCUGGUCAUUCAAAGAUGUAUAAAAGCCCUCCCUUGCCCAUUUUAAUGCACAAGCCUGAUGCUUACAUGCAACUUUUAACUGACCAUCCCUUGGUCCUAAGCACAAAGUUCUCUGUAAGAGCAGCUCUAUAAGGACAUAGUGGGAAAUGUCAGCUCCCUGGGACGAGCAUCGGUAUUCCGUGAGAACACCAGGUCUGUUAAAGGUUACCCACCUACCUGGUGUGACUGGCUGGAGAAAUAAGUUAGGGAGAAUCUAGAUGUGGUUGAAUUGUCAUUGCUGCUCAAAAUUUGUUUCUUUGUGAUAACAACAACAACAACAAAACAACAACAACAACAACGGGUGAAAUUAUCUUGAAAUACAAAAGAAUGUUUGUUGGUCCUGAGAGUGAAAAAAGGAAUCCUUAACAGCUUCAGCUUGCACCAAGAGGAUUUUUUUUUAUCAGCUUCCCUUCAUAAGAGAGGAUGGAGGAUUUUGGAAGAGACAGAACCUGGGAGAAAUUCAGUGAGCUGCCACUUACUGUUAACUACUCCACAGAAGAACUGUAUGUUUAUUGGAAUUCAGUAAAUGUGGCAUGUAAGGAUUUAGUCAAUGUCUGGCAAAAUGCUGCCACUUAGGACCCGUUUGGCUAAUACUAGAAGUAGUCAUCAAGUUAACUAUAACUGCCCAACAUUUUCUUAGAAGCCAAAGAACUUAAACUUUUAUAGAAGAAUGCCCAGUCAGUACUAUAUUAAUGUGUGUAUUACAUUUAUUGACUGUUGAACAGACCCUGAUUCCCAAGAGUCUUUAAGGCCAUAAUAAAUGCAAAAAUUGUAACUAAAUUCCCUUUGUACUCUUCAGUCUUUCUUGUAACCUCAAUGAAACUGAAAGUACUAUUUUAAAAGUACAAUGACUACGACAAAAUUCCAUUUAAAAAUCUUUAAAGUGUUGGGUUCUGAGGCUUUUGAACUUGAAUAUUUACACUGACCCCAAUAAAUUCUCCUCUAACCAAGUUCUCAUGUCAGCCAAGGGGGAUUGUGCUGGAUAGUAAGGAUGUCUACAAGUAAAUCCACUUGCAAAACUAUAAAAGGAGCUUCAACAGUCAGGGGCAUUUAAUGGCCUGGAAGAUCUAGAAAGAUCCAAGGAGGGUAGGGAGUAAUAUUCAUCCACCAGAGCCACCUCACCCACAUUCCAGAGUUGCUGAAAUUAUUACACACAUGUAAACAUAAGGACAAGACAAAGUUUUUUCAAGAAAUUAGAAAGGAAUGGCCGGGCACCGUGGUGCCUCACGCCUAUAAUCCCAUCACUUUGGGAGGCCGAGGCAGGCAGAUCACAAGGUCAGGAGAUCGAGACCAUCCUGGCUAACACGGUGAAACCCUGUGUCUACUAAAAAUACAAAAAAUUAGCUGGGCGUGGUGGCGGGUGCCUGUAGUCCCCAGCUACUCAGGAGGCUGAGGCAGGAGAAUGGUGUGAACGUGGGAGGCAGAGCUGGCAGUGAACCAAGAUCGCACCACUGCACUCUAGCCUGGGCGACAGAGCGAGAGACUGUCUCAAAAAAAAGAAAAGAAAAGAAAAGAAAAGAAAUUAGAAAGGAACAUGGCUUAACCAUGUCUAUUUAGACAUAAGUUAAUAUAUAGGACAAAGUUACCUAUCCCUUCUCAUUGACUUAAUAACAAAACUCUCAAAAUGGGCUUUUAUUGGAUAUUAUUGUGAUUAAAACUUUCCAAUUUCUCCUUCACUAUUAUAACAAGCUAUAGGAGAUGUCUUGUUUUCCAGCUCCAUAUCUGCUGAAUAGACUAACCAAACAGAAGCCUUCAGUCUCUGUAAGCCAUUCUUGCUCAAGAAAGUAGUCCUGAGAACAGUCUAGAAGAAACCAAUCCUGAAACAAAGAAAACUUUUCCACUAAACUCUCCUGACAUUCAUACAUUUUGCAAGGGAGAACGCAUUUAAUUAAGCUGCUAUUGUCAUUGCAACAAGUCUUAACUGUACCAUGGAGAUAUGUUUUGGUUAUACAUUGAAAUAAUAGCAUGUUUAAUUAAGGUAUUACAGAAUGUUUCUGUUUCACUAUAUUCAUAGCAAAAAUUUUUCAAUGUAUCAGUGACAGUUGAGAUUAAAGAAAAAAUCAACCCUGAAUAUAGCUAACAUAUUGGGAUGAAAAUUUCCCUCUAGCUGCCUUUCCCUCUGACACAUCUACAUAUUUUCCUUGUUAAUAAGCAAUGCUUUCAGAUAAAUUAUUUAAUUAUAUGGCUUUGUCAUGCUGCUGACAUAAAACAUAUCUGCAAAAGCAAGGACUGGAUUCCUAAAUGUCUGUAGGAAGAUUUAGUGAAGAUUCAGUGCUCAUCACUGUGGAGUUCCCACUGGCUGAUAAAAACCUGCAAGAAACCUGUAUAAUAAAGACAGGCGUGCAUCCCUAGAAGCACAGGGUGAUGGCUCCAAAAUCUUUCCUUCUAGUUUGGAAGGAGCAAGGUGUUUCCCGUCUUCCCCAGCGCAGCUGUGCCAAUUGUCAAGUGUGUCACUGACUAUGCAAAAGCUGCAAGGUAGAUCUGCAGGUGAGGAGGUACAAGGCAGAAAAGCCAGAACCGGGGAGUGUCCAGGGGCACCUGCAGCCCUGUGAUUCUAUGUUACUUGCCAGUGAUGUGCCUCCUGGUGGAUGUGAUACUAAUGUUCCUGGUUGAAAUACUGCAGGGAAACAAAGGGCCUCCUCUGUGGUGCUAUAUGGAAUUUGGCUUUUUCUUGGACCUUUCAAGAUGGAUGUUUUCUGGCUUUAGAACUCUGUCUUGAUGCACAGAAAGCAAAGCAUUCAGUGGGCAAUGGGAGGCAGAGAUGAAGAAUGCAACGGUUGGAAAUAAAAGCCUUUGCCAGGAUGUGCUGGGAAUUUUUUGCUGUUAAACACAUCGGAGUGAUAAUUUCAAUGUCUGUCAUAAAACCUAGGAUAUUUAAUGAUGAAUGCAUGUAUAACUGACACACUCGAUGCUGUAAAUGAUGUCCCUCAAUUUGAAUGUUUCUAAACAUAAACCACUUCAUAUGGUCAGGAACAUCACCAAAACCUGUCAUUGAAACCAACCCUGACGAGGGGUACUCAUGGCAGAAGAAUAAGUUGUUAACAUUUCUGGAGGUAUCAUCAUACCCAUGGUCAUACACGUGUUUUCUUUCUAGCUAUCCUUGGUUUUGCA